rnacentral:rRNA from 1 species
AACGCGAAGAACCUUACCAUCCUUUGACAUGGCGUGUUAUGGGGAGAGAUUCCCAGUCCUCUUCGGAGGCGCGCACACAGGUGCUGCAUGGCUGUCGUCAGCUCGUGUCGUGAGAUGUUGGGUUAAGUCCCGCAACGAGCGCAACCCACGUCCUUAGUUGCCAUCAUUCAGUUGGGCACUCUAGGGAGACUGCCGGUGAUAAGCCGCGAGGAAGGUGUGGAUGACGUCAAGUCCUCAUGGCCCUUACGGGAUGGGCUACACACGUGCUACAAUGGCGGUGACAGUGGGACGCGAAGGAGCGAUCUGGAGCAAAUCCCCAAAAGCCGUCUCAGUUCGGAUUGCACUCUGCAACUCGAGUGCAUGAAGGCGGAAUCGCUAGUAAUCGUGGAUCAGCAUGCCACGGUGAAUACGUUCCCGGGUCUUGUACACACCGA